rnacentral:rRNA from 1 species
UUCGGGGUGGAUUAGUGGCGAACGGGUGAGUAACACGUGGGCAAUCUGCCCUUCACUCUGGGACAAGCCCUGGAAACGGGGUCUAAUACCGGAUAACACCGGCUUCCGCAUGGGAGCUGGUUGAAAGCUCCGGCGGUGAAGGAUGAGCCCGCGGCCUAUCAGCUUGUUGGUGGGGUAAUGGCCUACCAAGGCGACGACGGGUAGCCGGCCUGAGAGGGCGACCGGCCACACUGGGACUGAGACACGGCCCAGACUCCUACGGGAGGCAGCAGUGGGGAAUAUUGCACAAUGGGCGAAAGCCUGAUGCAGCGACGCCGCGUGAGGGAUGACGGCCUUCGGGUUGUAAACCUCUUUCAGCAGGGAAGAAGCGAAAGUGACGGUACCUGCAGAAGAAGCGCCGGCUAACUACGUGCCAGCAGCCGCGGUAAUACGUAGGGCGCAAGCGUUGUCCGGAAUUAUUGGGCGUAAAGAGCUCGUAGGCGGCUUGUCACGUCGGGUGUGAAAGCCCGGGGCUUAACCCCGGGUCUGCAUCCGAUACGGGCAGGCUAGAGUGUGGUAGGGGAGAUCGGAAUUCCUGGUGUAGCGGUGAAAUGCGCAGAUAUCAGGAGGAACACCGGUGGCGAAGGCGGAUCUCUGGGCCAUUACUGACGCUGAGGAGCGAAAGCGUGGGGAGCGAACAGGAUUAGAUACCCUG